AUGAACGCUAGCGACAGGCUUAACACAUGCAAGUCGAGGGGCAGCGGGGGUAGCAAUACCCGCCGGCGACCGGCGCACGGGUGAGUAACGCGUAUGCAACUUACCUAUCAGAGGGGGAUAACCCGGCGAAAGUCGGACUAAUACCGCAUGAAGCAGGGGCCCCGCAUGGGGAUAUUUGCUAAAGAUUCAUCGCUGAUAGAUAGGCAUGCGUUCCAUUAGGCAGUUGGCGGGGUAACGGCCCACCAAACCGACGAUGGAUAGGGGUUCUGAGAGGAAGGUCCCCCACAUUGGUACUGAGACACGGACCAAACUCCUACGGGAGGCAGCAGUGAGGAAUAUUGGUCAAUGGCCGAGAGGCUGAACCAGCCAAGUCGCGUGAGGGAUGAAGGUUCUAUGGAUCGUAAACCUCUUUUAUAAGGGAAUAAAGUGCGGGACGUGUCCCGUUUUGUAUGUACCUUAUGAAUAAGGAUCGGCUAACUCCGUGCCAGCAGCCGCGGUAAUACGGAGGAUCCGAGCGUUAUCCGGAUUUAUUGGGUUUAAAGGGUGCGUAGGCGGCCUUUUAAGUCAGCGGUGAAAGUCUGUGGCUCAACCAUAGAAUUGCCGUUGAAACUGGGGGGCUUGAGUAUGUUUGAGGCAGGCGGAAUGCGUGGUGUAGCGGUGAAAUGCAUAGAUAUCACGCAGAACCCCGAUUGCGAAGGCAGCCUGCCAAGCCAUUACUGACGCUGAUGCACGAAAGCGUGGGGAUCAAACAGGAUUAGAUACCCUGGUAGUCCACGCAGUAAACGAUGAUCACUAGCUGUUUGCGAUACACUGUAAGCGGCACAGCGAAAGCGUUAAGUGAUCCACCUGGGGAGUACGCCGGCAACGGUGAAACUCAAAGGAAUUGACGGGGGCCCGCACAAGCGGAGGAACAUGUGGUUUAAUUCGAUGAUACGCGAGGAACCUUACCCGGGUUUGAACGCAUUCGGACCGAGGUGGAAACACCUUUUCUAGCAAUAGCCGUUUGCGGGGUGCUGCAUGGUUGUCGUCAGCUCGUGCCGUGAGGUGUCGGCUUAAGUGCCAUAACGAGCGCAACCCUUGCCACUAGUUACUAACAGGUGAUGCUGAGGACUCUGGUGGGACUGCCAGCGUAAGCUGCGAGGAAGGCGGGGAUGACGUCAAAUCAGCACGGCCCUUACAUCCGGGGCGACACACGUGUUACAAUGGCGUGGACAAAGGGAAGCCACCUGGCGACAGGGAGCGAAUCCCCAAACCACGUCUCAGUUCGGAUCGGAGUCUGCAACCCGACUCCGUGAAGCUGGAUUCGCUAGUAAUCGCGCAUCAGCCAUGGCGCGGUGAAUACGUUCCCGGGCCUUGUACACACCGCCCGUCAAGCCAUGGGAGCCGGGGGUACCUGAAGUCCGUAACCGAAAGGAUCGGCCUAGGGUAAAACUGGUGACUGGGGCU
rnacentral:rRNA from 1 species